UUUUGUAUUGGCCAAGCCCCAGGGCAGUCGCUCGUAAGCCGUCGCGCCGAUCGCAUGUCUCCGCGUCUAGUGUACGGAUCAGUAAAAAUUCGCUGUUCUUGUGCCCGCACUAUUCUCGUAGCGGUGACUGAAAAUGUAUAUUUAGACAAUUUAUUUGUGAAGGAUAAAUUAAUACCGAGUGUGACAGUGUAGAUCCAAUUUUUUUUAGUGUCCAGUGAUGUGAAUGUUGUGGAGAUUUUUUGUAGUGUUUCCCUGAGAUUUUUGCGAGACAAAGAUAAAGGGGUAAAAGCAAAGUGCAAGGAUUUUACUGCAAUAACAAGCAAAGAUAUUAAACGCUCCACUAGGUAAGUGGAAAAUAAAUCUUCAGCUGACAUAUUUAAAAAAUAUAUCUGCCUUUUAAAUUCGUUAUGACCUUCAACUGCGUAAUUUGAACCAUAGCUCUGAACCGAAUAAAAAAUAAUCCAAAUUUUGUUUUGAAAUUACAAAUUAUUCGAGAGUGCCUAAAUAAAGCCUCAUUAGUAGACGUCUUAAUAACGAAGUUAAUUAAAUUGAAAUCGAAAAGUUCUACCUUUAAGUUUAAUCAAAAUAUAAACUUAAUUAUAAAACCUUUUAUUUCAACCUAUAAUUUAUAAAGAUAUCUUAAUUAACAAAUCUGUCUUAGAUAGAAAAGUUAUAAAAUUUUUCCUUACCUUUUUAUAUUAAGUAUCAUCAUCAAAA